CCGAGAAGAGUGAAGAAACACAGAGACUGCUAAUUAUCUGAUACGUGGUUAAACUCC
rnacentral:tRNA from 2 species